ACGACUUCGGCACGGAUAUCUCGGCUACGCAUCGAUGAGACGUAGCAAAUGCGAUAUUGGUGUGAAUUGCAGAUCCGUGAACAUCGAGUUUUUGACGCAGUUGCGCCGAGCAUUCGGUUGAGGGCAGUUGCUGGGCGUCA
rnacentral:rRNA from 1 species